CCUAGGGUGGCAGCAGUGGGGAAUAUUGGACAAUGGGCGAAAGCCUGAUCCAGCCAUGCCGCGUGUGUGAAGAAGGCCUUCGGGUUGUAAAGCACUUUCAGUGGGGAAGAAAGCCUUGGGGCUAAUACCCUCGAGGAAGGACAUCACCCACAGAAGAAGCACCGGCUAACUCCGUGCCAGCAGCCGCGGUAAUACGGAGGGUGCGAGCGUUAAUCGGAAUUACUGGGCGUAAAGCGCGCGUAGGCGGUCUGAUAAGCCGGUUGUGAAAGCCCCGGGCUCAACCUGGGAACGGCAUCCGGAACUGUCAGGCUAGAGUGCAGGAGAGGAAGGUAGAAUUCCCGGUGUAGCGGUGAAAUGCGUAGAGAUCGGGAGGAAUACCAGUGGCGAAGGCGGCCUUCUGGACUGACACUGACGCUGAGGUGCGAAAGCGUGGGUAGCAAACAGGAUUAGAUACCCCAGUAGUCC
rnacentral:rRNA from 1 species